rfam:Trichuris trichiura, WGS project CBXK01000000 data, contig: TTRE_2635
UCCCUUGUGGUCUAGUGGUUAGAAUUUGUGGCUUUCACCCACACGGCCCAGGUUCCAUUCCCGGCACGGGAA